rnacentral:rRNA from 1 species
UACGGAGGGUGCAAGCGUUGUCCGGAAUUACUGGGCGUAAAGGGCGCGUAGGCGGACAGUUUAGUCAGAGGUGAAAGCCCAGGGCUCAACCUUGGAAUUGCCUUUGAUACUGGCUGUCUUGAGUUCGGGAGAGGUGAGUGGAAUGCCGAGUGUAGAGGUGAAAUUCGUAGAUAUUCGGCGGAACACCAGUGGCGAAGGCGACUCACUGGCCCGAUACUGACGCUGAGGCGCGAAAGCGUGGGGAGCAAACAGG